UAGGGAAUCUUCCACAAUGGACGCAAGUCUGAUGGAGCAACGCCGCGUGAGUGAAGAAGGUCUUCGGAUCGUAAAACUCUGUUGUUAGAGAAGAACACGAGUGAGAGUAACUGUUCAUUCGAUGACGGUAUCUAACCAGCAAGUCACGGCUAACUACGUGCCUA
rnacentral:rRNA from 1 species